UACUUCCAGUAUGUUGACCUCUCGU
rnacentral:piRNA from 1 species